rnacentral:lncRNA from 1 species
UGGCUUUUAAGAUUAAUUUUGGUUGAUAGUGACUUUUAUCUAUUUAAAAUCACCUUUGUUAGACAUUGUUGAUCCUUGAAGUUUUAUUUUGGUUCUUUUAUUUGGUAUUUAGGACAUAUACUAUGUAAAUUUUAUAAAAAAAAAGGAUUGGAGAAGGAUCUUGGUAGCAAAAAAAAGAAGUUAGGAUAUCUAUAUGGAUGAAU